UUCAUAAUUUGAAAUUUCUGCUGUUCGCACGCUUGCAAAGUUGGUUGGUAUCUACGAAUAUCUCGUAAGAGCAAUAUCGAUUGCUAGUAUCGAUUCUCGUGCGUCGAGGUCGAGAGUCGAGCAAGAUUAAUGGCACUUUCGAGACGCAUAGCAGAAUAGUGUGGUCAGUAAUUAGUGGACAAGAAUUCAGGACUAAUUAUUCGUAAAGUAAGUACUGAUUGCGAUACGAAUUAAUUUAAAUAAUUACAAGUGUAUAUUUCUCAUGAUAUCUAUAUGUAUGAUACUUGUUUUACAUUAAAUAAUCAUCUUUUAAAACCAUUCGGUCGACAAUGUAUAUACAUAUAUUGUCGACCGCGUAGGUUAUAUAUAAUGAUCAAUUUUAUCAAUAUCGAUAAUUAAAAAUAGCGGAAUGGCUAACAAACAUGAAAGUAUUCAUGAUAUUCAUAGACAUGACUGCUUGUUUCGACCAGUCUGUUUAUUUUAACCGAUAGUUCAUCGAACCGGAUUUGUUGAAAAUUGGCCAUAUGUGCGAAUUAACUAUCUAGAUAUUGUAAGAGACCGUACCUAACUUCGCGCGCUUUACCCACAUUAUUUUCCCGCCGUAAUCCAGUGCUGGUCACCUACCAUCUUCCGAACACAAUCUUGAAUGUUGCUGCCCUCUGGUGUACUUUUUCAUUUCUCAUCGUUCACGACCAACGUUCGCGCGCUCUUCGUCGCCGGUCCGCCAAAAAUACAAGCAUCAAAAACGUAACAAUGUAGCAAUAAAAGGACUCAAAAGUUUGAAAGCCGCAAAAGAAAUGGUCCGAAUGUCGGAGGAGAAAUUUCUAGAUCAAUUUUGCUGAAAAUAUUAACAAUUCUGUAUAAGGAUGAGAUCUAAAAGAGACAUAUAAAGCGCAGAUGGAAUAAUUUUUGGAUCUUUGUUGAAGAUAUUGAUAAUCUUAUAGAGGAGGAGAAAGUCUUGGGAGAGGCAUGAAACAUAGAUGAAGCUGUUUUGAGAUAAUUUGAAUACAAUUGACAACCUGAGAGGAGGAGGAGGCCUGGGAGAGGCAUCGGGCAUUGAUGGAGCAACCUUGAGAUCAGCGUGGUUUCGUAACUCCACUGUUGCGCAUCGACCGAUGAGUAAUAAAUUAUUUUAUUACGAGGUAACGGUGUAGAGAUUAGAUUGUAGAUGGUAGCUAGAUUGUAGAUUGUAGAUUGGUAGAUAGUUUCCGUUACCUCAAAAUGAAUGGAUUACAAAUAAAUAGAUAGAUUAAGAAUAUUUCUGUUUAAAAGAAAUACGAAAAACAUUUUAUUAUACA